GACGAACGCUGGCGGCGUGCUUAACACAUGCAAGUCGAACGGUGAAGCGAGUUCUUUCACUCGUGGAUCAGUGGCGAACGGGUGAGUAACACGUGAGUAACCUGCCCAUCACUCUGGGAUAAGCACUGGAAACGGUGUCUAAUACUGGAUAUGACCACCCCAUGCAUGGGGUGUUGGUGUAAAGAUUUAUCGGUGAUGGAUGGACUCGCGGCCUAUCAGCUUGUUGGCGGGGUAAUGGCGCACCAAGGCGACGACGGGUAGCCGGCCUGAGAGGGUGACCGGCCACAAUGGGACUGAGACACGGCCCAGACUCCUACGGGAGGCAGCAGUGGGGAAUAUUGCACAAUGGGCGAAAGCCUGAUGGAGCGACGCCGCGUGGGGGAUGACGGCCUUCGGGUUGUAAACCUCUUUCGGCAGGGAAGCAGCGAAAGCGACGGUACCUGCAGAAGAAGCACCGGCUAACUACGUG
rnacentral:rRNA from 1 species